rnacentral:rRNA from 1 species
GACGAACGCUGGCGGCGUGCUUAACACAUGCAAGUCGAACGGUAAGGCCCUUCGGGGUACUCGAGUGGCGAACGGGUGAGUAACACGUGGGUGAUCUGCCCUGCACUUUGGGAUAAGCCUGGGAAACUGGGUCUAAUACCGAAUAUGACUACAGGCUGCAUGGUCUGUGGUGGAAAGCUUUUGCGGUGUGGGAUGGGCCCGCGGCCUAUCAGCUUGUUGGUGGGGUGAUGGCCUACCAAGGCGACGACGGGUAGCCGGCCUGAGAGGGUGACCGGCCACACUGGGACUGAGAUACGGCCCAGACUCCUACGGGAGGCAGCAGUGGGGAAUAUUGCACAAUGGGCGCAAGCCUGAUGCAGCGACGCCGCGUGAGGGACGACGGCCUUCGGGUUGUAAACCUCUUUCAGCACAGACGAAGCGCAAGUGACGGUAUGUGCAGAAGAAGGACCGGCCAACUACGUG